CGGCGGCUGGAUCAGCGCGCCCGUGAUCUAUGUGCUCGCGGCAUGCGUGGGCGCGGCGCGCGCGUUCGAGUCGCCUGCCGUCGC
rnacentral:tRNA from 1 species